UACGGAGGGGGCUAGCGUUGUUCGGAAUUACUGGGCGUAAAGGGUUCGUAGGUGGCCAACUAAGUCAGACGUGAAAUCCCUCGGCUCAACCGGGGAACUGCGUCUGAUACUGGUUGGCUUGAGUGCAGGAGAGGAACGCGGAAUUCCAGGUGUAGCGGUGAAAUGCGUAGAUAUCUGGAGGAAUACCGGUGGCGAAGGCGGCAUCCUGGACCGGAAUUGACACUGAGGAGCGAAAGCCAGGGGAGCAAACGGG
rnacentral:rRNA from 1 species